ensembl:lincRNA
AAAUCACUGGCCAUCAGUAUCCCUGGAAGUCCCUAAGAAAGCCUUGCAGAAUCUGCAACUUGUUGGGAAUCUGAAACUGCCAAUAAAAUCAAUAUUGUGCCUGGAGUAGAUGAUAAACCUGAAGAAAAAGAUUACUCCAUUGAUUCAGAGCUAAACACCGACACUGAACUCUGCUGUUAGAGAGCAGAUCAUACAGAAAGCUUAUCCAAGAGAAGUCCUAUUAUAUUCAUCAACAACGUCGAAAGUAGCCUACUUUAAGAGAAAAUAUGCAGAAGAAGAAGAUCUACAUCAAGGUUACCAUGGGUAUUUUCCAAAACACCUGAUAUUACCGGAAGACAGGACUUGCAUCCUCAAACUUUCCCUGGAGAAGCUCAGGUUUCUUGAAGACCCAGAAACCUACCUAAGAAGGUCUGUGUUAAUUAACAAUUUGCUGAGGAAGAUACACCUAGAGACGGAGAAAGAGAGCUAUGAAUACUUCAAGGAAGCUCCCUGCUAUAAGACUGCUUAUUCUGAUGCAAGAAAACGGCUGAAGUUUAUGGUACAGGAGUGCUGUUCCCAGUCUCUUUACUAUGAAGAGCUGCACUCCUACCACAUUGUGCCUUACACUUCGGAGAGCGCCAUCUAUGGGAUGGGCUACACUGGUGACCACUUGGAGCAAAAUUCUCAGUUGCUCAUUUAUAAAAUGAAUUAAAAAGUAACUGUUAAGUUC